rnacentral:tRNA from 1 species
GGGGUUGUGGCUCAGUGGUAGAGCGCUUGCCUAGUGGGUGCAAGACCCUGGGUUCGAUCCUCAGCACCA